CGAAAAGAAGAAUGCUCAUGAAAUCUUUGGUCCGAAAAAAUUAGAAGAAUAGCCAGCAACAGAGUACAAUAUUUAAUUUAGUUAUGUUAGCUACAUUGCAAGCACAAAAUAUUUUUGGCAGAUGAAGCAAGAUUUGACAUAUGUACAGAAUUGUAUAGUUUUACCCUUCAGCAUAAUCCAGUCGCACAAAAUUCUAAUAUUUCAAGGCAUGCCGCCAAUAUUUCUCGCAUAGAUAGUAAACCAGGCAUAAAAGUGUUCAAGGAUCUUGCCAAUGUGAGCUGCUUCUUCCGGGAUGCCUAAGCCAUAAGAAGGUAAUGAAGAGGAGUGGCAAUUUAACAGUCUGUGUUGCCAAAUGCAGUUAGAGCUGCUGGAGUUCAUUUAAAUCUGGUCUUGUUGGAUAUUCAAAACCCCGAAGCACUGUCAUGCGUUUCAAAUCAUCUUCAGAAUAAGCAGGGAUGAGCCAGUACCUCUUGUCCAUCCCAAACACCUGUUCAAAGUUUUUCUUCCGUCCAAGAUCAUAUCGCCAUUUAGGAUCAGUUUUCUUCUCAUAUGCCUGGAAAAAGAAAAUCGAGAAAGAAAAAGAGUUUUAUAUGAAACAGUAGCUCAAACCUUGUUCCUAACAUGUGGGAGAGAAAGGUAACCAUAUAUAGCAGAAGGCAUCACCUCAAUGGCGGUUGUAUUUGCUAGUACUAAUGAAAUGUGCAUAAUCAGGAAGUGCCCAUAACACUCAAUGCAAAUGAUAAGUUCAAUACUGAAAUAGUUGAACAAUAACAAUAAGGAUACAAAAUUAACUCAAACCAUAAUAUCACAUACAAGUUUCUGUCCAACUCACCAAAUAUAAUAAAAGUGGCAACAAAGGUUCCCGGCGUUCCAGAUAUUUCACCCCAUUAUGUAAAAAAUGCUAUAAAUAACCGCAAUAAUGAUAAAGUAACAAGAGUUGUCUCAAGAAAUGUGUAAACCUGCAUAAGAAAAUAAACAGAAGAAUCCCAUAGAUAUUACAUAGCAGUUGGUUUCAAUAGAAAAAUAUGUUUGUAGGAGAGAUUUGCAUGCAACUUACAUGAUAUGGAUGUCAACACUCAACACUCAACAUACCUAGCAAAAUUGCUUUGUCUAAAUCAAAAGAAGAAAAGAGGAAGAGAGUUGGGGUUACCUUUGGGGGUAUUAGGGGAGAACUAGCCCAAUAACUUAGAUGGAAUAAGCACAUCCACAUGGUUCAAAAGCUUAUAUUUAUAUUGUAGUAGCACACUUCCCCAACUUUUACAUGCAAUGAAUCUGUUCAAUAUUUUUCCAAAAUGGGAUUUGGAGUACCACUUUUCCGUCUAGGUAGACUAAUAGCCUAACUAUUUGGAUAGAGCAUGUUGAUCUGUAUGAAAUUAAGAACCAGAAGUUCAGUUUAUAGGAGAGAGUCUGUCCAUGUGGCCAAAAAGGUUGUUAGCAAAUCCAUUUGCUAUUCAUUUGAUGUGGGAUCCACAUGCUACAUUACAUUUGUAAUUCAUUUUUUAGUGAUGAAAAUAAACGCAAUUUUAUUUGCUAUCCUUUUUAUGGGGCCUAACAUGCUCAUAGAUGGCAGGAUUCUAAUGUGAAAGGUCGAAUAUACACAAAGUACCCACUCUGCACACAUAAUUGUACCGCAGAGGAAAAAUAAUCUAUAGUUUUUCUUCUAGAAAGUAAUAUUAUGAAAACACCAACCAUAUAGCGUUGAAUGAAAAUUUUUUACUGACCAAGUUUAGGAGCUGACCAACACAAACCUUGUUACGAAGAUUUGAAACAUAUCCAGAACAUCUAUUUUUUAUAUGCAUGAGGAAAGUUAAUAGUCAGCUAGAUGGAGAAAAAUAAUCCAUGUAGCUCACCCCAACUAAAUUGAGAUCGAGACAAAAUUUACUUAUGGAAAAUUUAUUUUGAACAUAAACCUCAAACAAGUAACAUAAGAGUCCAUCUAGUUCAAAAUCAUUAAUAUCCAUGCCAUUCUAGCAUAUGGAUUAACACAGUCAAGUUUCGAACAAUAAUUAGCAUACCAAGAAAAGAAGGAAAUACUUGUAGUUCAAUGCCCCAACACAAUUGACAACCCAAACACAAUGAUGGUCCAUUUUCAAUAUACAUCUUCCACAAACAGAACAAUGAUGACAUCGAGGUGGUUAAAAUUGGUUGCACUUUCGACAGAAUCGCAUUCUUUGGUUAGCUGGCUCACCAAGUACAGAUUACUGGUUUAAACCUAAAUUUGCACCGCCGUGCUCUAACCCUAUCAAUGGAUCUGCAUCACCUCUCUCCUCAUCAAUUGAUGGCCUCCAACUUGUUGGGACACCACCUGGAUCCGUUAGAACAGUAGCAAAGUAGCUCCAUAAUAGCAUCACCAACUACAUAAUGGAAAUCAACAAACAGAAGUUCAGCAUGAUAGAUUUAUUUUUGAGAUCAUCAAGCGUCAUUAUUCAUGUUGUAGAGUGCUAUCAUGUUCUCCAAAUACCUUCACCGAUAUCAUCCAACUUUUGGUGGAUAACAUGGCAUCUACUCAUUAUGCACAGACGGAAGGCAGCACAUAUCUGGUAACUUGUCACAUCAGUCAACAGUUAUAUGGGUAAAUGGGUGAGCCUUGGCACAAUGGUAAGGUUAGUCCUUUGUAACCGAAAGGUCAUGAGUUCAAUUAGUAGAAACAGCCUCUUUGCACCAAAAAGAAGAAAAAAAGAAAGGAGGUAAGGGAAAGGUUGCAUAUGAUAGAUGAUCCUUUCAAGAUACUUGCAAAGUGAGAAGCCUUGUGCACUGGGAUGUCUUUUUGUCUGUUAUCGUUUUCCUUUAUUUAUUUUGCUAAACAUAAGAGAUUCAAAACCUUUUAAGUCCUACAACACACAAUCUUUUUUCCCAAAUUAUCCAACCAAUCACAUACAAACUACAACGAAAAAUACCAGAAAAUUUCAUCAAUCUCUUGGACAGAAUGGCUAGUCCCACCAAACAGUACCUUGACAAAAUAAAGUCAGCACAAAUUCUUUUUAUAGUUGAAAAGAAACUAAAGCAAAGUGAGUAAAAACUAUAGCUAUUUUGCAUAUCAUAAAACAGCAUAAUCUAUAACAUUAGCAUAUUUUAGUUUAAAAUUGAUUCUUAGAUAGCCAGCCAACUGCAAUUGCACACAAGUUAUGAACCAUGGUUACGGUGUGGACAGCCUAAUUUAUAAACUUCAGAGGAUGCAAAACGUAGCAUGGCAAAGAUAUACUAAUAAAUAUAUAAUGUCUUCAUAUCUAUAUAUGAUUUCUGCUAAAAAUCAAAACUUUUAGAUCAUAACUCAAUAAUGAACUAAAAAAUUCCACAUAACAUGUGCAAUAAAUUCUUUCUAUAUUUCUACUAAUGAUAUCAUUCCUCUAACCAUGAAAAACAAUAUAAUUUCUAAUGUGUAUCCACCAAUUCCUUGAACCAUGCAAAAAGGAUCAAAUGCAGUCUCAAAGCUAAAAGUCUUUCUUUGAAAGUGCGGAUACAGUUUAGUAGUAUCAAACACGUACAUAUAAUUGCUUGAAUGUGGAAUGAAUCCAAAAGGGAUCACGCGCCCCAUAUUAAUUAUUGCAACAUAAUACUCUUUGGUGAUUUCAAUAAGAAAUGCCACCUUGCCAUCCAUCGCACAACAGAAUUCAGCUAAAAUCCGUUCAUCAAAAGGUAGUUGAAUCCAAGUCAAACUCAAGAAACAACAUUCCUUAAGACUACUAACUAAACCAGGUCCAGAAACAACAGUUCUAGUUUUGGUAUUAAUCCUUCCUGACACAUUCCUUACACUAGCUAAAGCAACCCAUAAUGCAAUUCAUCAGCAUUGAAGAAAUAGGCAUAUUAUUGAUCUUUUUGUUAAUGAAAGUAAAAGUGAAAGGCUAAUGGAACUCACCAAAGAAUGGAACAAAAGCAAG
rnacentral:misc_RNA from 1 species